AGGACGAACGCUGGCGGCGUGCUUAAUACAUGCAAGUCGAGCGGAAAGGCCCUUCGGGGUACUCGAGCGGCGAACGGGUGAGUAACACGUGAGCAACCUGCCCUUAGCUCCGGGAUAGCUCCGGGAAACCGGAAUUAAUACCGGAUAUGACCUAGGCCGACAUCGGCUGUGGUGGAAAGUUUUUCGGCUGGGGAUGGACUCGCGGCCUAUCAGCUUGUUGGUGGGGUAAUGGCCUACCAAGGCGACGACGGGUAGCCGGCCUGAGAGGGCGACCGGCCACGACUGGGACUGAGACACGGCCCAGACUCCUACGGGAGGCAGCAGUGGGGAAUCUUGCGCAAUGGGCGAAAGCCUGACGCAGCGACGCCGCGUGGGGGAUGAAGGCCUUCGGGUUGUAAACCCUUUCAGCAGGACGAAGCGAAGUGACGGUACCUGCAGAAGAAGCGCCGGCUAACUACGUGCCAGCAGCCGC
rnacentral:rRNA from 1 species